rnacentral:rRNA from 1 species
UACGGGGGGGGCAAGCGUUGUUCGGAAUUACUGGGCGUAAAGGGCUCGUAGGCGGCCAACUAAGUCAGACGUGAAAUCCCUCGGCUUAACCGGGGAACUGCGUCUGAUACUGGAUGGCUUGAGUUCGGGAGAGGGAUGCGGAAUUCCAGGUGUAGCGGUGAAAUGCGUAGAUAUCGGGAGGAACACCAGUGGCGAAGGCGACUACCUGGCCUGUUUCUUGACGCUGAGGCGCGAAAGCUAGGGGAGCAAACGGG